AAGAAAGCAAAAAGAACAGAUGAAGGAAAACUUAACUUUCCGGUGGUUUGAUUCCUCCUUUGAUUUCUUUUUCGGUUCUCUUUUGUCUGUCCUCUCUCCUCUCCUUCCUCUCUUCUCCCUCCUUCCUCUCUCCUCCGUCUCCCUUUGCUCUCCUCUCUCAAUCUUGUUCUUUCUGUGUCUCUCCUCAAACCAAAGUGUUGCAGUGAAGGACACGAGCCAUUGAAAUCAGGGUGGGGCCUGACAGCCACAGUGUGGCCCCCGCCCCUCGCUGGGCAGGAGCAGAGAGAGGGGAGAGCCCUGAGACCACAGGGCUUUGGCCUGGGCAGCUUCCACGUUCUGCCGGACACUUUGAGGAGAGGCAGAUGGAGCCCCAGGCCUCAGCGUUCUCUUUUUUCUUGUCUCCCUUCUCCCACCCGGGAAAUGAAACUGUUGGGCUGGGCCACGGAGGCAGCAGAGACUCGGCCAUUGCAGGGGCCUCCGGGUGCCUUGUCCGGGCAGUGGUGGAGUAGCCACCCCUCCCACCCCUGGCACGAUGGGGCCUGGCACCUUGACCCAUCCUCGCCGGAAUGUAAGCAUCUCCGCUGAAUGACUCCCUGCCCUUACCCUACCUCUGAGUUUGUCCAUGUUUAUUUCCUGAAGAGAGAAGGGACUGGCAAGAGGGCCUGGGCCCCAGCCCAAGGGUGGAGAGGGGGCCAAGGGCUCCUGACCAAAUAGGAAGGACAUUUGAGCAGAGCAAAAUGAAAGGAAUUACAACCAAAAACCCCCUCCGAGAAGACAGGCAGCAUGGAAGGCAUGGUGGAGAUGACUCAAACAAAAACUAUGAUUCUAGACCAAAAAGGAAAAAAAAAAAAAAAAAAAAAGGAAAGAAAAUCCAGGACUCACCACCACCCACUUCAUCCUGCUUCCUCCCCAUCAAGUCCCACCACCUGGGACCUCUCCCCACCCCAGUAUGGGGUAGUGGGGCAAACAGACGAGGAGGAGCAGGGGGCAGGGAUGGGGCAGAUGCCCUGACGUUGGUGGAGGGAACCCUGUGCAGCCAGGGGUGCUGGGGACCCUCCCCAUCCAACCCUCACACCUAGGAAAAGAAAAACAAGAAAAAAGAAAAUUCCUGGGAGGGGGAAAAAUAACCAAAUCCCAAGCUUUAACUACAGCUGUGAAACCAAAUAUUGGGAAGGGGGUAGGAGGGAAGGAGGGGCAGGUGAGCCCCAGGUCUCCCCCCUGGGCCCCCCUCCCCCGAGGACUCGAGAUAAGGCACCAAAUACCUCAUAGAACUUUAAUGUUAAAAAAAGGAAACCAAAUAUCGUUGGCUGGGGGCCAGCCAGGGCAAGGGGCUGGGGGGCUGGAGGGAGCCAGGGUUGGGAAGGUGAUGGGGGAAUUCAUGCCCCCCACCCCCAUCUGCCCCUUCCACUCUGGUCCCCCGUCUCGACUCCGGGAAACAAAACUAUCUCAUCGUUUUUAUUUUGUGGUCUGUACAGAGCCUGUGUCCGUGUGUCUGUGUGUGAGCGAGAGAGUUGGAGGGCUGGGGAGCUUUAUGUGGGGGAUGGGGAGGGAAACCCCAGGCUAGGCUAUGGGCUAGGUUAGGUGUCCGAGGUUGGGAGCUGAGGGCCUGGGCUAGAAAGAGAGGAGAGAUGAGUGGAUUGGAGCAGUGGGGAGCCCUCUGAAUUUCUCUUCUCCCCAACCUUGACCUCCUACUUAAGGGAGGGACAGAGACUGGGUCUACCCUAAUGGUGGGCCUUUUCAUUGUGCCAAAAAAAAAAAAAAAAACUGAUGCCAGUAACUAAACCACCUCUCUCUGUUCUCUUCUGGGGGGUGGGGUGGGUGUGUGUGUGUUGGGGUGGGUAGGGAUGGGGAACCCAAGCCCCAGUAGGAGUUGGGGCUGAGAUCAGGAGGAGGGGAAGGAUAUGAGUUUUCUACCCAUCUCCCCGGAGAAGGCCAUGAUGGGCUCUCCAAGCCCUGGGGAGAUUUGGCGAGGGACUAGCCAAGUCAGGGUGACCUCUUGACCUGACUAGUUUUUCUAACCCACCCGAAUACCAGGGUGCCUCUCUCUUCCUCUAGCCCAGGGUAGGGGGACCUGAGUGAGAGAGUGAGACAGACAGCAAGAUUGAGACACGCGGGCCCCCACUGGUCUCUGAGUGGGAAAGGCAAGUGCGAGAGAUAAAGGCCUCCAAGAGAAAAAAGAAACAAACCAAAGAUUUAACCAUUUAAAAAAAAAAAAAAAACCCACAGACAACUCCGCUACCUUUUUAUACGUUGGAAAAAAAAGUGAAAAAAAUUUAAAAAUAAAAAUUAAAAAAAAAUACACAAAAACUCCAAGCCGCAGGUCCUUCAUGCGGUUUAAACUUUGACCUCAGCAGUCUCCAAAGCAAGACGACGAUGACAAAGGCGGAAACAAAGAAAAAAUAAUGUAUAUUUUUAAGUAUUUGUCCUUGAAUUGUUAGCUCCUUGUUAAACAAACAAGAAAAGGAGAGAAAAAUCCAGAGAGAAGUGUUGCUGGGAUGGAGACGACUAUUUACUAUGUCUGUGACCCCUCCCUUUUGCCUCCCUCCCCUUCCUCUCUUUCCUGUCCUCUAUCCUUGCUGCCCCUCCCCCAACCUGUCCCCCAAACCCAGGGGCUCAGUAUUUAUUUAUUUAUAUAAUUGCAGGGUGACUGGGGGCCUCUCUCGGCAACUCAUAGAGGGCCUUUGGAUCAUGGUGGGGUGGGGAAAGAGUGAGGAGUCUUUGGGAAGAGCAGGGGCCUGAACUUUGAUCAACUCCUUUCUGGCCUCUUGUCCCACUGCUGCCACCAUCACCUUCCAAAUCCAGGGCUGCACUAGGGCAAGGUGACCACCCUACCUCGUAAAGACCUGAUUGGCGCAGCCCGUUCUGGUGUGGGUGUCUCUCACCGCCCAGAAUGACUAGGUUGGAAUGGAGGUGGGUGAAGUUGGAGGGGGUGGCAAGUACAAGGCAAGGGUGCCCAAGAACUGGCAUCCAGAAAUCAGCCCCAGAGUAGACCUGUCUUUCCUCCAUCCUCACCAAGUUAGCCUCCCUUUCAGUUCCGUCUGACCCCUGUGUUGGUAGCCCCUUCCUUCCCUUUCUGUACCCCCUCCCUGUCUCUUCUCGUGGUAGCGGGUUAGCGUUUCAGUGUUCUUAACUCCAAUCUGCUUGUUCAUUGUACAAUGUGCUUCUUUUAAGGCCCCAUUUUUGUAACUUGAGUGUGUCAUUCAUCUGGACAACAAACAUCAAAAAAUAAAAAAUUAAAAACUGUACAGAGAGAAAUGA